rnacentral:rRNA from 1 species
UACGGGAGAGGCAAGCGUUGUUCGGAAUUAUUGGGCUUAAAGGGCGUGUAGGCUGCCUGGUAAGUACUUUGUGAAAUCCCCCGGCUUAACCGGGGACGUGCUUGGUAUACUGCUGGGCUUGAGGCAGGUAGAGGUGCCUGGAACUCUAGGUGGAGCGGUGAAAUGCGUUGAUAUCUAGGGGAAUGCCGGUGGCGAAAGCGGGGCACUGGGCCUGACCUGACGCUGAGACGCGAAAGCGUGGGGAUCAAACGGG